GAAAUGUUUCCGGACCACCUUCGGUAGAUACUAGCUCUGGUAUCGAGAGCUCUGCCUCAAAGCUUUGAAGCUGACUGCCAAAGAAGUUCCUAUGAACAGUACAAUCCAGGCCUCCAACAAGUCCUUGUCCACCAGUUUUCUGUCCAAUAGCCUUGUUUGCCAAAAAGAUGAGCCCUGCACAGGUGCCCCAGACAGGCUUCCCCAUUCUAACGAACUCUCGCAAAGCAGGAAACAAAUUAUGGAGCUCCGCUAGUUUAGCCAUGGUGGUGCUUUCCCCGCCAGGAAUAAUGAGAGAAGCUACAUUAAGAAGCUGCUCAGGCUUCCUUAUCUCUACGCCCUUCACUCCGAC
rnacentral:misc_RNA from 1 species